UGAUUUCUUCAAGCGGUCAUAUUUACCAUGUUUAAUGUUAAUGCCCAGCGUGCAUAGUCUUUUUCAUCGCUUAUAAUUAUUUCUGCCUUGUUUAAACAAAACAAAAAGGUCACACCUUAUAGGAAAUAAACGCCUCCUAAGUGUAUGGAAAUACCUGGCUGAGGAGAUCAGUGACAUAAACCAGAUAAAACUGCCAGUGGUCUGAGACAGCUACAAGCCACAAAAACAGUUCAUAGUUCCUGCAUUUCUAUAAUGCAUUAAUGAAUAACAAUAAUUAAAAUAAAAUGUAAUGUCAAGGUUUUGUGUUAAUUCCAGCUAUGUUGAGUAUUCUGUGAAUAAUUUUGAUUUUAGGUGCAUAUUCUUAAUUCUUUGCAAAACAACCUGAACUGUUUGCUAUUGAAAGGUUGGUAUGAAGUUUAAAUAAAUAAAAACAUUAUAUUCUUGACAAAAC